rnacentral:rRNA from 1 species
AACGAACGCUGGCGGCAUGCCUAACACAUGCAAGUCGAACGAGACCUUCGGGUCUAGUGGCGCACGGGUGCGUAACGCGUGGGAACCUGCCCUUAGGUUCGGAAUAACUCCCCGAAAGGGGUGCUAAUACCGGAUAAUGUCUUCGGACCAAAGAUUUAUCGCCUUUGGAUGGGCCCGCGUUGGAUUAGCUAGUUGGUAGGGUAAAAGCCUACCAAGGCGACGAUCCAUAGCUGGUCUGAGAGGAUGAUCAGCCACACUGGGACGGAGACACGGCCCAGACUCCUACGGGAGGCAGCAGUGGGGAAUAUUGGACAAUGGGCGAAAGCCUGAUCCAGCAAUGCCGCGUGAGUGAUGAAGGCCUUAGGGUUGUAAAGCUCUUUUACCCGGGAUGAUAAUGACAGUACCGGGAGAAUAAGCUCCGGCUAACUCCGU